rnacentral:sRNA from 1 species
UUAGCGAGGCUGUCAAGUUAAUGGUCUCCGAGCAGUAACUGACCUAAACGGACCUAUCGUCGUACAGUACUUCUCCGUUAAGGAGAGUUGGAUCCGCCAUUGAAACUGGCGGGAGAACCCAGCUACUCUGGGUUUGAGGACCUCCUCAGAAUAAGGGUUGAGCCUAACACGUCGCCAUUGGCUGACAAGGAAGAAAAAAUUUUCCGGUUUGGCAGUCACAAGUGGUACGGCGCUGGAAAGAGAGCAAGAAAAGCACGCUCUUGUGCGACUGCUACAGUCGCUGGCCGCGCUUUGUCCGUUCGUGAAACCCGGCAGGCCAAGGAGCACGAGGUUGCCGGCGCCAACAAGGCUGAGCACCUCAAACACUACUCCCCGCCUGCCGAAGGGAAUUGUGGUUGGCACUGCAUUUCCGCCAUCGCCAACCGGAUGGUGAAUUCCAAAUUUGAAACCACCCUUCCCGAAAGAGUGAGACCUCCAGAUGACUGGGCUACUGACGAGGAUCUUGUGAAUGCCAUCCAAAUCCUCAGACUCCCUGCGGCCUUAGACAGGAACGGUGCUUGUACUAGCGCCAAGUACGUACUUAAGCUGGAAGGUGAGCAUUGGACUGUCACUGUGACCCCUGGGAUGUCCCCUUCUUUGCUCCCUCUUGAAUGUGUUCAGGGCUGUUGUGGGCACAAGGGCGGUCUUGGUUCCCCAGAUGCAGUCGAGGUCUCCGGAUUUGACCCUGCCUGCCUUGACCGGCUGGCUGAGGUGAUGCACCUGCCUAGCAGUGCUAUCCCAGCCGCUCUGGCCGAAAUGUCUGGCGAUUCCGAUCGUUCGGCUUCUCCGGUCACCACCGUGUGGACUGUUUCGCAGUUCUUUGCCCGUCACAGCGGAGGGAAUCACCCUGACCAAGUGCGCUUAGGGAAAAUUAUCAGCCUUUGUCAGGUGAUUGAGGACUGCUGCUGUUCCCAGAACAAAACCAACCGAGAGGACGACGCCAUCACUAUUGACUCCAGUCAAGGCGCCACAUUCG